rfam:Sclerotinia borealis F-4128 unplaced genomic scaffold scaffold00095, whole genome shotgun sequence.
ACAUACGACCAUAGACUGAGGAGAAUUGGGCAUCCCGUCCGCUCUGCCAUACACAAGCCUCAGAUCGGUAGAUUAGUAGUUGGGUGGGUGACCACCAGCGAAUCCCUACUGUUGUAUGUU